CCCUUAGAUGUCCUGGGCCGCACGCGCGCUACACUGAGUGUCUGAGAUACGAGUCUGCCUGGUCCGGCAAGGUCUAGGUAAUCGCUAAAAGACACAUCAUGCUUGGGAUAGAUUAUUGCGAAUAUUAAUCUUGAGCGAGGAAUUCCUAGUAAGCGCAAGUCAACAGCUUGCGUUGAUUACGUCCCUGCCCUUUGUACACACCGCCCGUCGCUACUACUGAUUGGAUGUUUAAGCGAGGUUCUCGAACUGCUAGCGACUUAGCUUCGGUGAGGUCGCAGUGUGGGAAGUGAACCUAGCUUUGGUGUCUAGAGGAAGUAAAAGUCGUAACA
rnacentral:rRNA from 1 species